rnacentral:rRNA from 1 species
AUUGAACGCUGGCGGCAGGCCUAACACAUGCAAGUCGAACGGUAACAGGAAGCAGCUUGCUGCUUUGCUGACGAGUGGCGGACGGGUGAGUAAUGUCUGGGAAACUGCUCGAUGGAGGGGGAUAACUACUGGAAACGGUAGCUAAUACCGCAUAACGUCGCAAGACCAAAGAGGGGGACCUUAGGGCCUCUUGCCAUCGGAUGUGCCCAGAUGGGAUUAGCUAGUAGGUGGGGUAACGGCUCACCUAGGCGACGAUCCCUAGCUGGUCUGAGAGGAUGACCGGCCACACUGGAACUGAGACACGGUCCAGACUCCUACGGGAGGCAGCAGUGGGGAAUAUUGCGCAAUGGGCGCAAGCCUGAUGCAGCCAUGCCGCGUGUAUGAAGAAGGCCUUCGGGUUGUAAAGUACUUUCAGCGGGGAGGAAGGGAGUAAAGUUAAUACCUUUGCUCAUUGACGUUACCCGCAGAAGAAGCACCGGCUAACUCCGUG